rnacentral:rRNA from 1 species
GCCAAACAGCUAGCCGAACACUUGGAUUAAUUUAUUAGUAUAAAUAACCCCUCAUAACCUAGAAGCUUGUGAACAAAUCAUUUUUCCACCUUAGUACGGGCGACGGAAAAG